rnacentral:rRNA from 1 species
UACGUAGGGGGCAAGCGUUGUCCGGAUUUAUUGGGCGUAAAGAGCGUGUAGGCGGCCAGACAAGUCUGCUGUGAAAACUCGAGGCUCAACCUCGAGCUGUCGGUGGAAACUGUCUGGCUAGAGUCCGGAAGAGGAGAGUGGAAUUCCUGGUGUAGCGGUGAAAUGCGCAGAUAUCAGGAAGAACACCCGUGGCGAAGGCGGCUCUCUGGGACGGUACUGACGCUGAGACGCGAAAGCGUGGGGAGCGAACAGG